rnacentral:rRNA from 1 species
UACGAAGGGGGCUAGCGUUGCCCGGAAUCACUGGGCGUAAAGCGCACGUAGGCGGAUUGCUAAGUCAGGGGUGAAAUCCUGGAGCUCAACUCCAGAACUGCCUUUGAUACUGGUGAUCUUGAGUCCGGGAGAGGUGAGUGGAACUGCGAGUGUAGAGGUGAAAUGCGUAGAUAUUCGCAAGAACACCAGUGGCGAAGGCGGCUCACUGGCCCGGUACUGACGCUGAGGUGCGAAAGCGUGGGGAGCAAACAGG